UCGAGGAUCUUCGGCAAUGGGCGCAAGCCUGACCGAGCGACGCCGCGUGCGGGAUGAAGGCCCUCGGGUUGUAAACCGCUUUGGUCCGGAAGUAAGGACGGAGCAAUCCGUCUUGAACGACCGGAGAAACAAGCACGGGCUAAGUUCGUGCCAGCAGCCGCGGUAAGACGAACCGUGCGAACGUUGUUCGGAAUCACUGGGCUUAAAGGGCGCGUAGGCGGCUCUUUUGGUCGUGGGUGAAAUCCCCCAGCUCAACUGGGGAACUGCCUACGAUACCGGAGAGCUCGAGGGAGGAAGGGGCGGCCGGAACUGUCGGUGGAGCGGUGAAAUGCGUUGAUAUCGACAGGAACGCCGGUGGCGAAAGCGGGCCGCUGGCCCUCUUCUGACGCUGAGGCGCGAAAGCCAGGGGAGCGAACGG
rnacentral:rRNA from 1 species